GUGGGGAAUCUUCCACAAUGGACGAAAGUCUGAUGGAGCAACGCCGCGUGAGUGAAGAAGGGUUUCGGCUCGUAAAGCUCUGUUGUCGGGGACGAAUGUGCAGUAUUUGAAUAAAGUACUGCAAUGACGGUACCUGACGAGGAAGCCACGGCUAACUACGUGCCAGCAGCCGCGGUAAUACGUAGGUGGCAAGCGUUGUCCGGAAUUAUUGGGCGUAAAGGGAGCGCAGGCGGGAAGGUAAGUCGGUCUUAAAAGUGCGGGGCUCAACCCCGUGAUGGGAUCGAAACUAUCUUUCUUGAGUGCAGGAGAGGAAAGUGGAAUUCCUAGUGUAGCGGUGAAAUGCGUAGAUAUUAGGAGGAACACCAGUGGCGAAGGCGACUUUCUGGACGGUGUCUGACACUGAGGCGCGAAAGCCAGGGGAGCGAACGGGAUUAGAUACCCCUGUAGUCC
rnacentral:rRNA from 1 species